ACUAAAAAAUAGUUUUCAAAUUUUCGUGAUUUUUACGAAUUUCGUCAAAAUUCUGACUUCAGACGCUCAUAAAAAAACUAUUGAGGAUUUACGCCGAACUUUUUUUUUAUUUCCACCAAAGACAACUUACGAGGAACGUUGUAGGCGUAUUACAUUCUCGAGUUAUUGGACAGAGCGAACAUUUUUUUUAUCGACAUAAAUUAUGAAAAAACUAAAAUAAUCGAACAUUUCAUAUGUAUAUGAAUACCUCGACACGAAUCUAAAAAUUUUUGAAAAUGUUACGGUUUUAAAUUCUAAUAUAAACAACCAGUUCAAAUUGCAUGUAUCUACAGACAUUGAAUUUAGAGUAACACCACCUACACGAAAAACCAAAACCGAUAUUAGGUAGGUACGUAAAAACUCACGUUUCCCUAAAUUUUUUUUUGUUUUUCCAGGCGCUUUUGGCGACCAGGCGGGCACUGUUCAUUUCGACAUGCCCUAUGCACCUACAAGAUUCACUUUCCCACAGGAAAAGAUGAAAAGCGAAGCAUUAUUUCGACUACUUAUCGUGCACACCGCCCCAAAUAAUAAAAAUGUAUUACGCAGAACGUACAUUUGCCAAUAGUUUCAAUAUAGUUCGAUUCACUCUAAUUUUUAAACUAACGAUGCUAAAUGUCAUCUGCUCAUCGUACAUUUUCUAUAUAUUAAGACGGAUACAAUAAAAUGCCCGUGUUACGUUUUAAAAUCUUGGAGCUGCAUCGUUCACGAUAUUUCGAAAAUUUAACGCCCGCGAACCUGUCUUAUCACUAUACGAACACGAAAUUGUAAUAAUGUUAUCAAAUAAAUAACAACAUCAUAUUAUUAUAUUUUCGUAUGCCGACUUUAAAUUUGAAUCACUCUCGAAUCGCGAUUAUUUGAAAUUCGAACAAAAAAUACAGACCACAGAACAGUCGUACCGAGUUCCAUUCAUACAAUUUAAUAUAAAAUCACCAUGGAUAAGUGUAUUCUUUCCAGUAAAACAUCCAAAGUAUCGCCUCGCCACAUUACGUACAUUUUCAUUUGUAAGUAUUAUUUUCUAGUUGUAGUGAUUAUAUUUCUUAAUAAUAUGGAGUCAGUCUAAUUUGCUAAUUCGUUCACAAAUAUAGAUUUCCAAAAAAUCAAUGAAAUAGAAAGAAAUAAUGGCUAAAAAUGUUCGAAUUAAAUGAUUGUCGCGAUAAUUUCUACCUGGCAUAGAAUCUGCGGUAGGUAAUCAUUUCACAAUAAUUAGUGAUGGUAAACAAUGGUCAGUAAAUUAGUAAACACGGUGUCAGAGGCUGUCUCAAAACAUAAUCCAAACCACUUGUCUGGUAUAGAGAAGUAAAAUAAAUGUUAUAGUGAUUCACGGCAAUAUUGGUACUACUCUGCGCACGACUAGUAAAUCGCAUCUAAGAGAAAAUUUUGUUUCUCCAACGAUGAGUUAGUAGUAAAUGAACAGACGAAUAUAAAGCAUUUGGAGGCCAUGAUUUUAAUUCACCCAGAAAUAAGCCUUAGAUACCCAAUAAUGUCUAAUUCACACACACUUAUCUAAGUAUAUCACUCAAGUAUCCGAUUUUAAACGUUUGCCAAGACCAAAAGUCACUUAAUAGUUUAUCGUUUUUAGUCCACACAGGGGAUUAUACUUAUAAUGUUUUUCAAAACUGAAAUAUUAUAUUAUGAUGUACCACAUACACGGAACUGGGAAGUGGAGCCAACGCAUUGACAAAUUUUCAGACGUUGACUUUCUUGGAGAUAAUUCUACCGACUCAGAUGAAGCCAUUCAAUAUUGGAGAGAAUUAUGAAACUUAAAGGUAAUACAAUUUUGCUGACCAAGAAUCCAAUUUUAACAACGCAGAGGGCCUCAACAUAUUUAAAUUGCAAAGAAACACACGACUAGUUAUUGGACAUUGGUAUCUUUUCUGAAGGGAAAGUGCAUCUAGUUGGAUGCGUUAAACAGGUUGCCAAACCCGUUCCCAUUUGCAACGAGGAGAGACAAACUUCUUUGAAAAAUGAGUGUGCUAUUACCAAAAAGCUUCAGUGGCUGUUAUUAAAAUUCUUCUACUGUCGACAAUGGACAUGCUCGAUGAAGACUUUUGAACUAUGUAUAUUCUGAUAUGGCGCUUUUGGCGACUAGGCGGGCACUGUUCAUUUCGACAUGCCCUAUGCACCUACAAGAUUCACUUUCCCACAGGAAAAGAUGAAAAGCGAAGCAUUAUUUCGACUACUUAUCGUGCACACCGCCCCAAAUAAUAAAAAUGUAUUACGCAGAACGUACAUUUGCCAAUAGUUUCAAUAUAGUUCGAUUCACUCUAAUUUUUAAACUAACGAUGCUAAAUGUCAUCUGCUCAUCGUACAUUUUCUAUAUAAGACGGAUACAAUAAAAUGCCCGUGUUACGUUUUAAAAUCUUGGAGCUGCAUCGUUCACGAUAUUUCGAAAAUUUAACGCCCGCGAACCUGUCUUAUCACUAUACGAACACGAAAUUGUAAUAAUGUUAUCAAAUAAAUAACAACAUCAUAUUAUUAUAUUUUCGUAUGCCGACUUUAAAUUUGAAUCACUCUCGAAUCGCGAUUAUUUGAAAUUCGAACAAAAAAUACAGACCACAGAACAGUCGUACCGAGUUCCAUUCAUACAAUUUAAUAUAAAAUCACCAUGGAUAAGUGUAUUCUUUCCAGUAAAACAUCCAAAGUAUCGCCUCGCCACAUUACGUACAUUUUCAUUUGUAAGUAUUAUUUUCUAGUUGUAGUGAUUAUAUUUCUUAAUAAUAUGGAGUCAGUCUAAUUUGCUAAUUCGUUCACAAAUAUAGAUUUCCAAAAAAUCAAUGAAAUAGAAAGAAAUAAUGGCUAAAAAUGUUCGAAUUAAAUGAUUGUCGCGAUAAUUUCUACCUGGCAUAGAAUCUGCGGUAGGUAAUCAUUUCACAAUAAUUAGUGAUGGUAAACAAUGGUCAGUAAAUUAGUAAACACGGUGUCAGAGGCUGUCUCAAAACAUAAUCCAAACCACUUGUCUGGUAUAGAGAAGUAAAAUAAAUGUUAGUGAUUCACGGCAAUAUUGGUACUACUCUGCGCACGACUAGUAAAUCGCAUCUAAGAGAAAAUUUUGUUUCUCCAACGAUGAGUUAGUAGUAAAUGAACAGACGAAUAAAGCAUUUGGAGGCCAUGAUUUUAAUUCACCCAGAAAUAAGCCUUAGAUACCCAAUAAUGUCUAAUUCACACACACUUAUCUAAGUAUAUCACUCAAGUAUCCGAUUUUAAACGUUUGCCAAGACCAAAAGUCACUUAAUAGUUUAUCGUUUUUAGUCCACACAGGGGAUUAUACUUAUAAUGUUUUUCAAAACUGAAAUAUUAUAUUAUGAUGUACCACAUACACGGAACUGGGAAGUGGAGCCAAUGCAUUGACAAAUUUUCAGACGUUAACUUUCUUGGAGAUAAUUCUACCGACUCAGAUGAAGCCAUCAUACAAUAUUGGAGAGAAUUAUGAAACUUAAAGGUAAUACAAUUUUGCUGAGCAAGAAUCCAAUUUUAAUAACCCGGAGGGCUUCUACAUAUUUAAAUUGCAAAGAAACACAUAACUAGUUUGGACAUUGGUAUCUUUUCUGAAGGGAAAGUGCGUCUAGUUGGAUGCGUUAAACAGCUUGACGUUUUCAGAAAAUUUUGUUUCUCCAACGAUGAUUUAGAAGUAAAUGAACAGACGAAUAAAGAAUUUGGAGGCCAUGAUUUUAAUUCACCCAGAAAAGCCUUAGAUACCCAAUAAUGUCUAAUUCACACACACUUAUUCCACACAGGGGAUUAUACUUAUAAUGUUUUUCAAAACUGAAAUAUAUUAUGAUGUGCCACAUACACGGAACUGGGAAGUGGAGCCAAUGCAUUGACAAAUUUUCAGACGUUGACUUUCUUGGAGAUAAUUCUACCGACUCAGAUGAAGCCAUACAAUAUUGGAGAGAAUUAUGAAACUUAAAGGUAAUACAGUUUUGCUGACCAAGAAUCCAAUUUUAACACCGUAGAGGGCCUCAACAUAUUUAAAUUGCAAAGAAACACAUAACUAGUUUUGACAUUGGUAUCUUUUCUGAAGGGAAAGUGCAUCUAGUUGGAUGCGUUACACAGGUUGUCAAACCCAUUCCCAUUUGCAUCGAGGAGAGACAAACUUCUUUGAAAAAAGAGUGUGCUAUUACCAAAAAGCUUCAGUGGCUGUUAUUAAAAUUCUUCUACUGUCGACAAUGGACAUGCUCGAUGAAGACUUUUGAACUAUGUAUAUUCUGAUAUGGUACCUAUUUCCUUUGAUUUGUGUACUUAUUUUACAUAUGUUUCCCCCCGCCACCCAUCAGAAAGUAAUUAGUUAGUUUAUUUAACCAAAGAAAACUGUACCUACUCACUGUGUUUGUGAAUAAAAUUAUUUUGUCAAUGACUAAUUUAAGAAAACUUUAUUUUUAAAUUUUAUAAUAAAAAAGAAAAGUAGGUGCCUAUUUUUAAAUCUUAAUGAACUAUACCAUCAUGCUUUUCCUAUUUGUCGUAUCGAUAGUUUAUAUGUAUUUUAAAAUUUAGAAAUA